UACGUAGGUGGCAAGCGUUGUCCGGAUUUACUGGGCGUAAAGGGCGUGCAGGCGGUCUGUUAAGUGCAGGGUGAAAGCUCCCGGCUCAACUGGGAGAGGUCCUUGCAUACUGGCGGACUUGAGGGGGGUAGAGGAAAGUGGAAUUCCCGGUGUAGUGGUGAUAUGCGUAGAUAUCGGGAGGAACACCGGUGGCGAAGGCGGUUCUCUGGGCCUUACCUGACGCUGAGGAGCGAAAGCGUGGGGAGCGAACAGG
rnacentral:rRNA from 1 species